AAGAAGUAUUGUAAAUCUGAACUGACUUUUGCUGAAUAAAAUUACAAGUCACUCGGCGCUAUUUUGUUUGUCGCUUUUCAUGUGACAUUAAUACGACGAUUUAUUUCGCAUUCCUUUUAAAAUUCGAAGUAAGAACUGCAGAACUGCUCGUUUAUAGCGUUCGGGUGUAACAGGAGGUCUCUCAUUCCUUUUAGUUUUCCUAUAAGCUCCUGGCGUUUUUAAU